GAUGAACGCUAGCUACAGGCUUAACACAUGCAAGUCGCGGGGUAACAUCUGGUAGAGCUUGCUCUUCCAGGAUGACGACCGGCGCACGGGUGAGUAACGCGUAUCCAACCUGGCCCAUACCACGGGAUAGCCCGUCGAAAGGCGGAUUAAUACCGUAUGCUGUCAUUAAGAUGCAUAUAUUGAUGACGAAAGGACUGGCGGUAUGGGAUGGGGAUGCGUCUGAUUAGCUUGUUGGCGGGGUAACGGCCCACCAAGGCGACGAUCAGUAGGGGUUCUGAGAGGAAGGUCCCCCACAUUGGAACUGAGACACGGUCCAAACUCCUACGGGAGGCAGCAGUGAGGAAUAUUGGUCAAUGGGCGAGAGCCUGAACCAGCCAAGUAGCGUGCAGGAUGACGGCCCUAUGGGUUGUAAACUGCUUUAUAAGGGAAUAAGUGAGUCUCGUGAGACUUUUUGCAUGUACCUUAUGAAUAAGGACCGGCUAA
rnacentral:rRNA from 1 species